CCAGAAGGGCAGGCUUGGGUCAGCUCAGGUUUCUGAGUUUCCGAAGGACAAGUGACCAGUGGCCUUUCGUCACUUAGAGAAACGCUCUUUGCAAGCAUUUGUUUUCUGUUUCCUGGCCAUCUUGGAUGAGAAAGCCAGGACUAUGGGGGACAAGGAGGACAGGAUGAGGAGGGACACAUGCCCACCCAGGCCUCUGCCUGCCUGCUGCUUCCCUUCCUUCCUCUGCCCCUAACGGCGGACACAUGCCAGGGAGCCCCUCUGUGGCUGCGAGCAACUCUCAAAUAGCAGGGAGACCCCCAGAGCUAGGGCUGGGGCUGGACUCAAAGCCCAGGAAAGAAGCCUCAGGGACUUGGUGACAGCAUGUAAGUUUCGGAGCUGGAGUCCACAGCAUGGGGGUGUUAGAGGCCAAGGCAAGGGUACCUAUUCUUACCUAGUAACUACACCUCUGCCUUUGACAUCUCAGAGACAGGCCCAAGACUACAUUCUGUCUCUGCCCUUGCUGGUGGCUGUGUGAGUACCUGCAGCUAGCUUCCACCUACCCUGGCUCAGGCCUAGCCCAGAUACCAGGGCCUAGCGGUCUAGAAGCUGCCUACAAAAGCAACCCUGGAAAGCCAGAGAAAAGUAAGAGGCGUGGCUGAGGGUUACCAGAUAAAAGCCGUCUCCAUCCGGCCCUAGCAAGCUCUUCAAGGAAGUCACCUCAUCUAUCCUCACAGCGGCUGAGUCUGAGGGCUCCUGUCACUCAGCUUCACAGGGUGACCUCACCGGCUGCCGAGUUUGCAACACCGAUCACAAACAAUUCCCGAUUGUGCAUCUUCCAGCCACAGGUCUAGCUGCCUCCUGGCUUGGCUCUUUGUGGCUCAGAGGUACAGUAACUCCACCCAUCCAGAGCCAUCCAGGGCAACGUGCCUUCCAGGGGGGGGCACUCUGUACUCCCAGCAGUCCAGGGGUUGACAAAAAUGACACUCUCCUUCUCUGGCUCUGUUCCAAACACACCAGCCUGCCCUGAGCAUCCUUGAUUCAUAGGAUCCUCCGUCUAAGUCCGCAGCAAGGUUGAUGCAGGACUUCAGGAACACUUAGACGCAACUGCUGCUCACCUUUUCCCCAAUACCCCCAGUCCCAAGCUUACCAGAGCUCUCUUGGAAACUGGCAACAAGUCUUCAAUGAUUCCCGCUGCCUCCACCUCUCUAAUUCCCUCUGUUGUCCCCUGUUGAGACCAUCCCUCCACUGUACUAGUCUGCGAGCUCAUAAGAGGCCUCCCUUAACUAACCAUCAGGGCCCCCUGCCCAUGCUGCAUGGGCUCUCUUUUCUGCCUGCAUUUCACUUCUUAGAACCCAGGCUCAAGCAGGUGAGCUAGUUUAGAGUGUAAAGGUGCCUGCAGUGACAACCUGAGUUCAAUCCACAUGUAUGCCGACCUGAGCAAAUGCCAACCCCCCCAAUUGUAAACAGACAAACAAGUAAACAAAUAAAUGCUAAAACAAAA